rnacentral:lncRNA from 11 species
GGGACCCAUAAAUUCUUUUGCAGGGGGCCUCCAAGUUUCUUGCUCAGCCCUGCUUUCAGACUACAUUUUUCUCAAUGAAAAUGGCUAUAUCAGAACCAGAUGUUCUGUGUAAGCGCACAACAGAACACAGAUUCCUUGAAUGGAAUCUCUGACAUAUUCUUUGUAGGGCACAAGGUGGUCCCAACAUGAAAAGAGUGGCAAAAGCAGCCCAAGGCCAUGAGAUGUCAUUCUACUUCAGUUCCCUGCUAUAGGAUUGGUACACAAAAGAGUCGGGACUGUUUCAGAAAAUCCAUCAAAGGCAAAACAAGAAAUUAACAAGAGAACCUUGACUUGGUUGCAGAAAGUGCCUAAAGUAUGAAGGUUUCAGACAUCAAUGAGGAUCAGUCAACAUGAGGUACCUACUUUUCAAAUUCAGGAGUCUAUUUUCCUUGAAUAAAAUGAUUUCAAA